GACGAACGCUGGCGGCGUGCUUAACACAUGCAAGUCGAGCGAUGAAGCUCCUUCGGGAGUGGAUUAGCGGCGGACGGGUGAGUAACACGUGGGUAACCUGCCUUAUAGAGGGGAAUAGCCUUUCGAAAGGAAGAUUAAUACCGCAUAAGAUUGUAGCUUCGCAUGAAGCAGCAAUUAAAGGAGUAAUCCGCUAUGAGAUGGACCCGCGUCGCAUUAGCUAGUUGGUGAGGUAACGGCUCACCAAGGCGACGAUGCGUAGCCGACCUGAGAGGGUGAUCGGCCACAUUGGGACUGAGACACGGCCCAGACUCCUACGGGAGGCAGCAGUGGGGAAUAUUGCACAAUGGGGGAAACCCUGAUGCAGCAACGCCGCGUGAGUGAUGACGGUCUUCGGAUUGUAAAGCUCUGUCUUCAGGGACGAUAAUGACGGUACCUGAGGAGGAAGCCACGGCUAACUACGUGCCAGCCGCCGCGGUAACAC
rnacentral:rRNA from 1 species